CGGGACGGAUCUCGGGGUGAGACGAGGGGUGAGGCCCCCAGCGCCAGGCAGGGGCCCCCAAGCGCGCCCACGCACUGCUGUCUCCGACUGUAACAGAACAUGAGCAUGCCUUGGUUUGUGCAACUUGCAUCCUUCUCUGAAGAAGCCUGGGGCUUGUCUGCCCUCCACCAUAGUGAGUGAAACCAGAAUGUCCUGGCUUCGGAGGCCUGGUGGAAGUGACUAAGCCGGGGUUUGCAGCCAAUGGUCAUGUCCGGUCAUCCUCAUCCCAGAAACCGGCACAGCACGUGAGGGACAAGGGACCCAGAAGGAGCGUGACCAAGCAGGAAACCUCAACGCCCUUUUAUGAGCCUGCCUUAGAAGGGACACACCAUGACAUGUACACAGAGCACUUCUGACGCUGCACAGGAGGAGACUACACACGUGUCAGCGUGAGGAGGCGGAGAUCACGGGGGGCAUCGCGGAGCCGGGCUGUCUCAGCGCUUCACACACACCACCCCGCUCCAGCCUCGUGAGACGAGCAGAGAAAAAUAAAGGACAGGAGACAGGACGCUGGCAGGGGCUGGACAGGGUCUCAUGAUAAGAGCGGCCAGAGUGGAACACGCCCCUGGAGAUCCUGAAGGUCCUGAAUCCUGAAGAUCCAGGUUGGGUCAUGGCUCGGACACUACUCACGUGAAGCAGCUGUGCACCUCUCCAAUCUCCACGUUCUCUACCGGUGGGGCAAAAAGGGGAUCUGCCUACCUCCUAAGGAUUGUGGGGAGGAUGCAGUAUGAUAAGGAGCAGGGAUGCACUUUGCCAACUAAAGUGCAAUGGAAACAGAGAGCAAGACGGCUGGUAUUCAUGAGGGCUCGGAGCCAGCCUGCUGACAAAGCCACGGGCUGUGCCAGCUCUCUGACUGGUCCCCAGGUCCCCAGGGUGCAUGUGACCCAGCUGUAACACUGUACUGAGGUCCCACACAGGCCUCCCGCUUGGUGGACUGACCACACUGGCUGCUUCAAAUGCCCUAAAAACAGGCACAGGAAUGCAAUGAUCUCACCUGUGUUUACCUGGGCCCAGUUUCCUAAUGUAUAGAUAGGCUUUGAUGUCUCUGAUGAGUUUGUUUGUAUUGCAACUUCUUUGAGGACCCAGGGUCAAAAGGCAUCACCUUCCUUUCUAACAGGGAGAUGGUAGCACAUCUCCUGGAGCCUCGGGUCAAGGCCUCCUGCCCCCGUCCAUGUUUGGGUCUGGCCCACGAGAGAGCCAGCAACCCGAAGUAGGGUCCCAGGGACGCAGACACACUCCCAGGAGUGGGCAAACCCUGUGAGGCUGGGAGAGCAAGGGUGGAGGAAGAGACGCCUCCGUGGUCCUCCGAGUACAAGCGGAUAGGCAGGGGUUGGGGGACACAGGACAGGUCAGGGAGUGAAAACUUGGAAGGAUAGAGGGAGAAGCUCUGGGAACAGUGGCCCCAAAAUGAUCUAUUAGCAUCUUAGGUGUUUGAGAGUAACUGCCCCGCCCAGAGCCCCUGCCUUUGGGGCCUCCAGGAGGUACCAUGCUGAAAGCAGCCAGGGUUUCCUAGGUGAAGUACGUUGCCCCACUGUGUUGGGAGAUGGGGAGAUUGUGCAACAGCUGACUUCAAUUACUAAGUCCUCUCUGCUGAAGAGAAGCCAUUCCCCCAGCAGACUGGGAAGUGUUUACAUCUACUUGGGCGCACGCGUGCCCGAGGGGGAAGGGCUUUGCUCAGGAAAUGGACUGGUGGCUCCCCCCACUCCUGAGGUGACAGCAGAGGCCCCGCCCUCAGCCAGGGCCCCAGGGCCCCGACCGGCCCUGCAGGGUGCAGCCCCCGCGCCCCCGCAGGCUCCUGACUGGCGGAUGCCCAGAUGUGCCCGAGGCCACUCCUCCCCCGCAGCUCAGGCGGCCCUGGCCGCCUGGGGCCGCAGGUCUGUGUCGCGGUACCGGGGGGAGCAGUGGGGAGAGGCUGCCCUGAGCUCCCAGGCCUUGCCUGCGGCCACCAGUCCAUGGAGUAGGGAAAGGGCUGGCGUAAACUGCAGCCGAAGGCCAGCGGUCCCUGCACGUCCGCCCAACCCACUUCUGGAAUGGGUCCUCCGAGCAUGACAGUCUGCUAGUAGCUGAGAACUCAGGAGCCUCCUCAGCACAAAGACUCCUGGGCGCCAAGUGCGCGGGUCUCCCCGGGGAGCCCGCUGGUCCUGCCCACCCGGGUCGGGCUUCUCCCUUCAGCCUCGUCUCCCUGGAAAC